rnacentral:rRNA from 2 species
AGAGUUUGAUCCUGGCUCAKAACGAACGCUGGCGGCRUGCUUAACACAUGCAAGUCGAACGUGAUUGAGAGCUUGCUCUCAUGAAAGUGGCGCACGGGUGAGUAACACGUGGAUAAUCUGCCUGGCGAUUCGGGAUAACACUUCGAAAGGGGUGCUAAUACCGGAUAAGCCCACGGACUCUUAGGGGUUUGCGGGAAAAGGGGGCCUCUGUAUAUGCUCCUGUCGCUAGAUGAGUCCGCGGCCCAUUAGCUAGUUGGUAGGGUAAUGGCCUACCAAGGCGACGAUGGGUAGCUGGUCUGARAGGAUGAUCASCCMCAYUGGAACUGARACACGGUCCAGACUCCUACGGGAGGCAGCAGUGGGGAAUCUUGCGCAAUGGGCGAAAGCCUGACGCAGCGACGCCGCGUGAGUGAUGAAGGCUUUCGGGUCGUAAAGCUCUGUCGAGGGGAAAGAAAUGUACRAGGGCUAAUAUCCUUUGUACUUGACGGUACCCCUAAAGGAAGCACCGGCUAACUCCGKGCCAGCASCCGCGGUAAU